rnacentral:rRNA from 1 species
AGCGUAGACGGCACUGCAAGUCUGAAGUGAAAGCCCGGGGCUCAACCCCGGGACUGCUUUGGAAACUGUAGGGCUAGAGUGCUGGAGAGGCAAGCGGAAUUCCUAGUGUAGCGGUGAAAUGCGUAGAUAUUAGGAAGAACACCAGUGGCGAAGGCGGCUUGCUGGACAGUAACUGACGUUCAGGCUCGAAAGCGUGGGGAGCAAACA